rnacentral:lncRNA from 1 species
UCAGACGCCGCAGCAACCAGAGACCCCGCGGCAGCAACAGAGAGCCAAAAGCGAAGAGGAGAGAAGGAGCGUCGGUCCUUCAUGUUGAUGUCUUCAGUACUGUGCUGACUAUGCUUUAUUAAAUACAUUUUUGAUCUUGGUAAGUCUCUUCUUUUCUUUUCUCUUCCCUUGCAUUUUUCUACCUUAAAUAUAUGCUUAAUAAGUCUUUUUGUGGAUUGAGAUCUCUAAACACAUGGUUGCCUUGCAUUUAUGUAUGGAAAGUUUUCAUCCCUUCUUUGUCAUUAAUUGUUGGUUUCUUUUUUUAGUCAGUUAAAGCAAAUAACUAUAAAAUAAAUGAUUGUCAUUUCAUAGCCAAAUAGUGAAAUAUCUUUAAUGACUUAACAUACUAUUGGUUAAUUUAUGUGUUCUGGACCAGUGCGAAUUUGGUAGUCAGUGUGAAAUAAAGCUGAUGUUGAAAAUGCCACCGGUAAUGGGUAAGAGAGGGGUUUGUUGUAAGUCGGCCAGCCAAAACUGGAAAAACAAUAGAUUAUCCAACAAUAUAUCUUGAAAAAAUAUUGAAUCAUGAUUUAAUUAUGAAAUACAAAUGUCGCAUCAUCCACAUUAGACUGGAUCAUACUUGGUGCUUUUUCUCUAACCUUUCUUUGUCUAUGCCUUUUAACUGCAGCAAAUUGAUGCCACAUACCAGCGUAUACAAAGCGAGGCAUGAGAUAGAAGAAGAGAGAUUAUGAUGUACAAAGGGAAAUGAGAGAUAGUAGCAGAGAGAAAUGAGUAUUUUCAACUUGAACUUUAAAGUUUGUAUGUAUCAGUUCUUUUUUAGACUUUAUUUCCUACUCCAAAAUUUCUAUUCGUCAACACCCUUUUUGAGUUUUGAAGAACACAGUUUAUUCCUGGACAAGGUACAUUUUUCUUAAAUGUCGGAGUAGCAUUAAUUCCAAAAACAGUGUUGUCUUUCGUUUGAAUAUAGAUGCUCGCUUUAAUUCUCUCGC